CGAAGGUCACCAACGAUCUGUGGGUAAAGCUAUCGCUACCUCUGUGCCCGGCUGCUUUACGGCAUCUGACCCCAGUGACCGCUUGUUUCUUGAAGAUCAUUGCUCCGCUGGCCCCCAGUGUCCUGCUGGCGCUGUGCCGGUUCCUGGGCCACGGGUCUCUCAGGCCGGGGUUCCCGGGGACCAGGGGAGGCCGGUUUAGGGGCGUCCGCCUUUGUAAUCCAGGAAAUGGGAGAUCCUGCUUGGCCUUCUUAGCUGGCGCGGAGAGAUUUGUGUGUAAACGCCCUUGGCGGUCAGUAAGUGGGAGGCGCCCAGUUUGGAGACACAGUUACCCUCUGGAAACCUGAUGAGCCAGAUUUGGAUGCGGGGGCCUUCUCCGCUUUCACCCACCUGCUCUGCGCCCAGGACCAUCCGUCUCCCACCUCCAGCAACCACCAGCUCCUGCCGGUACCGUCAGGCCACCUUCAAACCCGAUGUCUGAUGCUGUGAGACCCACCAAGCCAGGAUGGAGUGACCUAAAGCUACCUAUGUCGGUAGCGAAUCUGCAGCUUGGGUCGGGCCAGCCCAUCGGUGCCCAUCUCUGUCACCUCUGGGUGCGGCCACCAGAAGGCUCACUGCUGCCUCUGGCUCAGGCUGCCGUGACUCCACCACUGAGACUAGGACAGCGAGGCCUCGGCGUGUCUGGUUCCCUGCGGUCCCGCCGCCCAACAUCUUCGGGGUAGGUGGACUUCUCCGCGGCGCACAAGCGUGGAGGGUGGGUGAGAUGUCCCUGGAGAGAGCAUCCAGUGCCAGUGCGUGGACUACCAUCUUCGAACGUGGCUUCAGAAGUAGUCCCAGGCUCCCCAGAUCCGAGGGGAGGAAACGGAGCACACACACCCCCCCCCCCCUCAUUGCACAAGUGUGCAAGGUCACCCCGGGGUGGGGGUGCUCACCCAUCCUUGGGAAAUCCUCUGGGCCACAGCUUGUCUCGCAGACAGAAGACUCUGGGAUGGGGAUUCGAAUCAGCCUGGACUCUGUUCUCCUCCACACACCCCCUCCAGCACCUACAGUGUGCGGGAACUGGGGCUGGGGGCUAAUGUUUCUCUGCAAAUUCAUGUUUUCUUAAUGUUUA